rnacentral:lncRNA from 1 species
GGGAGCGGGGCAGAGGGAGGCUUGGAGGACGGCCACCAUUGUGUCUACACAUGAAACCUGUGCUGUGAUCUAGAGGUCAGAGCGCUCUCUGGUGCAAGUGUGGUAGCUAUCGACAACAAAAUAGAGCAAGCUAUGGAUCUGGUGAAAAGCCAUUUGAUGUAUGCAGUUAGAGAGGAAGUGGAGGUUCUGAAGGAGCAGAUCAAAGAACUAAUAGAGAAAAACUCCCAACUGGAGCAGGAGAACAAUCUGUUGAAGACACUGGCCAGUCCGGAGCAGCUCGCCCAGUUUCAGGCCCAGCUGCAGACUGGCUCCCCUCCGGCUACCACGCAGCCACAGGGGACCACACAGCCCCCUGCACAGCCAGCGUCCCAGGGCUCAGGAUCAACCGCAUAGCCUGCUAUGCCCCAACAGAACUGGCUGCUGCUGUCUGAACUGAACAGACCGAAGAGAUGUGCUAGUGAGAAGCCGCCUCCAGUCACCCAUUUCAUUGCUGUCUGCGAAAGAGACGUGAGACUCACACAUGCUGUUCUCGCUUUCUCCCCAGUAUUAAGCACUCAUAUGCUUUUGGCUUGAAGAAAUAUACUAGUUGAGUGAAUUAAAGGUUAAACAGAGAGUGAGCAUGGAUGUACCCUGUGCAACGUGGCAGAUGUCUGAGGAAUGGUUUGAUUGACGCUGAGGAGGAGCUCUGUGCCUUUUCAACCCUCCCCAGCCGCCCACUCUACUCCCAAGCUCUGGGGCUCGCCUGCAUGGGGCUCAGAAGGUGGGCUGCUCCUGGAUUUUGUGUUCUCCUCUCCUUCCCUUCAAAGAAUUUGAGAGGCCAGAAACGAGACUGCAAAGGGGGGGAUGCAGUCCUUUUACAAAACCGACAACUGUCACC